GAGUUUGAUCGUGGCUCAGAACGAACGCUGGCGGCAUGCCUAACACAUGCAAGUCGAACGAGACCUUCGGGUCUAGUGGCGCACGGGUGCGUAACGCGUGGGAAUCUGCCCCUCGGUUCGGAAUAACACAGAGAAAUUUGUGCUAAUACCGGAUAAUGACGAAAGUCCAAAGAUUUAUCGCCGAGGGAUGAGCCCGCGUAGGAUUAGCUUGUUGGUGGGGUAAUGGCCUACCAAGGCGACGAUCCUUAGCUGGUCUGAGAGGAUGAUCAGCCACACUGGGACUGAGACACGGCCCAGACUCCUACGGGAGGCAGCAGUGGGGAAUAUUGGACAAUGGGCGAAAGCCUGAUCCAGCAAUGCCGCGUGAGUGAUGAAGGCCUUAGGGUUGUAAAGCUCUUUUACCCGGGAUGAUAAUGACAGUACCGGGAGAAUAAGCUCCGGCUAACUUCGUGCCAGCAGCCGCCGU
rnacentral:rRNA from 1 species